GACGAACGCUGGCGGCGUGCUUAACACAUGCAAGUCGAGCGGUAAGGCCCUUUCGGGGGUACACGAGCGGCGAACGGGUGAGUAACACGUGGGUGACCUGCCCUCAGCUCUGGGAUAAGCCUGGGAAACCGGGUCUAAUACUGGAUAUGACUCCAUGACGCAUGUUGUGGGGUGAAAGCCUUGUGCGGCUGAGGAUGGGCCCGCGGCCUAUCAGCUUGUUGGUGGGGUGANGGGCCUACCAAGGCGACGACGGGUAGCCGGCCUGAGA
rnacentral:rRNA from 1 species